rnacentral:rRNA from 1 species
GUGCCAGCCGCCGCGGUAAUACGUAGGGGGCAAGCGUUAUCCGGAUUUACUGGGUGUAAAGGGAGCGCAGACGGCCAAGCAAGUCUGAAGUGAAAUGCAUGGGCUCAACCCAUGAAUUGCUUUGGAAACUGUUAGGCUUGAGUGUCGGAGAGGUAAGCGGAAUUCCUAGUGUAGCGGUGAAAUGCGUAGAUAUUAGGAGGAACACCGGAGGCGAAGGCGGCUUACUGGACGACAACUGACGUUGAGGCUCGAAGGCGUGGGGAGCAAA